rnacentral:rRNA from 1 species
GUUAGGAAUAUUGGACAAUGGGCGCAAGCCUGAUCCAGCCAUGCCGCGUGAGUGAUGAAGGCCUUCGGGUUGUAAAGCUCUUUAGUCCACGAAUAUAAUGACUGUAGUGGAAGAAUAAGCCCCGGCUAACUUCGUGCGAGCAGCCGCGGUAAUACGAAGGGGGCGAGCGUUAUUCGGAAUCACUGGGCGUAAAGCGUGCGUAGGCUGUUUUGUAAGUCAGAAGUGAAAGCCCAGGGCUUAACCCUGGAAUUGCUUUUGAAACUACAAGACUCGAAUUCGGGAGAGGAUAGCGGAAUUGUCAGUGUAGCAGUGAAAUGCGUAGAUAUUGACAGGAACACCAGUGGCGCAAGCGGCUAUCUGGACCGAUAUUGACGCUGAGGCACGAAAGCGUGGGGAGCAAACAGGAUUAGAAACCCCGGUAGUCC